GUUGGUGGACUCAAACUGAAGAAACCUGGGGGUUCUCUAAAGCUCUCCUGUGCAGCCUCUGGGUUCACCUUCAGUAACUAUGGCAUGCACUGGGUUCGUCAAGCUCCAGGAAAAGGGCUGCAGUGGGUCUCAAUUAUUUAUUACGAUGGUAGUAACAAAUACUACGCAGACUCCGUGAAGGGCCGAUUCACCAUCUCCAGAGACAACACCAAGAACAUGCUGUAUCUGCAGAUGAACAAUCUGAGAACCGAGGACACAGCCAUAUAUUACUGUGCAAAAGACACACAGUUAGAAAAGUCAGCAUGA